UACGGAAGGGGCAAGCGUUGUUCGGAAUCAUUGGGCGUAAAGGGCGCGUAGGUGGCUCUGUGUGUCUACCGUGAAAGCGUACGGCUCAACCGUAUUUUGUCGGUAGAAACUGCAGGACUUGAGGCUGGGAGGGGCUGGUGGAAUUCCCUGUGUAGCGGUGAAAUGCGUAGAGAUGCGGAGGAACACCGAUGGCGAAGGCAGCCCCCUGGGUCGACACUGACGCUCAGGCACGAAAGCGUGGGGAGCAAACAGG
rnacentral:rRNA from 1 species